rnacentral:rRNA from 1 species
GACGGGGGGGCAAGUGUUCUUCGGAAUGACUGGGCGUAAAGGGCACGUAGGCGGUGAAUCGGGUUGAAAGUGAAAGUCGCCAAAAAGUGGCGGAAUGCUCUCGAAACCAAUUCACUUGAGCGAGACAGAGGAGAGUGGAAUUUCGUGUGUAGGGGUGAAAAUCCGUAAAUAUACGGAAGGAACGCCAAAAGCGAAGGCAGCUC